rnacentral:misc_RNA from 1 species
UUUUAAUUAAAAACUAGAAUGAAAGGUUAUACAUUCAAAUUUCUUUAUUAAUUUUUAAUAAAUAAUUUAUAUUAAAUAUAAAAAUGUAUUUAUAAAAAAAAAAGACGACAAGACCCUAUUAAAUUUUACUUAUAGUUUAGCUGGGGAAGCUUUUCAAUUAAAAUUUUUUAAAUUAAAUAAAUAAAAAUCUAAUAAAAUUAAAAUUUUAAUAAAUUACUAUAGGGAUAACAGCAUUAUAUUUUUUAAAAGUUCAUAUUAAAAAAAAUGAUUGUGACCUCGAUGUUGAAUUAUAUUUUCUAUAUUAAAUGCAAUAAUUAUAAAAGUAGAUCUGUUCGAUCUUUAAAAUAUUACAUGAUUUGAGUUCAAACCGGUGUAAACCAGGUUGGUUUCUAUCUUUUUAUAUAUUUUUCCAGUACGAAAGGACAAAAAAAUUUUUAUUUUAAUAAAUUAGCAAAUAAAUGCAUUAGAUUUAGAAUCUAAAUAUAUUUAAUAAUU